AAAUUUCAACCCCCUUUUCUUUUCAAAAAAGGUGGCUUGGACUUGUGGAAGCUGCUGGCGCUGCAUUAUGCAUACUUCAGCUCUUCUCAAACCUAUUAGCACGGUUGCUUCUGGUUAAUCCUUUGGUAUGAUAAUUAUCUAUGCCUUUCGGAAUUUCUGGACAAUGGGCAUUGUGCUUCCAAUUGUCUGCAAAGACAGUUUUUGAACAA
rnacentral:misc_RNA from 1 species